UUCCUGUUUCUUGCCUGGGCGUGACCUUCCGGAAGUGAUUGUUGCUGCUGUCGCUAAGGGGAGCGAUCAGGCCGCUGGAGGAAGAUCGGGCAGUGCGGCCGGACAGUUGUAUUCGUUCUCCUGCCGAAUAAUCAUCUGAUCAGGAUGGGUAUG